GGGCGGUUAGCUCAGUUGGUAGAGCAAGUGACUUUUAAUCACUGGGUCAUAGGUUCGAAUCCUAUACCGCUCACCA
rnacentral:tRNA from 2 species